UUUGAUGCUAGUGGCCUAGUGGUUAGAGCGUCCGCCUCGGAUGCGGGAGGUCGUGGGUUCGAUCAAGUCAUACCAAAGACUUACAAAA